rnacentral:rRNA from 1 species
AUAAGGUUAAGUGAAUAAGGGCGCACGGUGGAUGCCUUGGCACUAAGAGCCGAUGAAGGACGGGACUAACACCGAUAUGCUUUGGGGAGCUGUACGUAAGCUAUGAUCCAGAGAUUUCCGAAUGGGGGAACCCAGCAUCUUUAAUAGGAUGUUACGAUUGUGUGAAUAAAUAGCACAUUCGAGGUAGACGCAGAGAACUGAAACAUCUAAGUACCUGCAGGAAGAGAAAGAAAAUUCGAUUCCCUGAGUAGCGGCGAGCGAAACGGGAAAAGCCCAAACCAGCAAGCUUGCUUGUUGGGGUUGUAGGACUCCAAUAUGGUAGUUCUUUCAGAUAGUCGAAUGACUUGGAAAAGUCAGUCAAAGAGGGUAAAAACCCCGUAGACGAAAUGUGGAAGACACCUAGGAGGAUCCUGAGUACGGCGGAACACGAGAAAUUCCGUCGGAAUCCGGGAGGACCAUCUCCCAAGGCUAAAUACUCCCUAGUGACCGAUAGUGAACCAGUACCGUGAGGGAAAGGUGAAAAGCACCCCGGAAGGGGAGUGAAAUAGAACCUGAAACCGUGUGCCUACAACAAGUCAAAGCCCGUUAAUGGGUGAUGGCGUGCCUUUUGUAGAAUGAACCGGCGAGUUACGAUUGCAUGCGAGGUUAAGUUGAAGAGACGGAGCCGCAGCGAAAGCGAGUCUGAAUAGGGCGUUUGAGUAUGUAGUCGUAGACCCGAAACCAUGUGAUCUACCCAUGUCCAGGUUGAAGGUGCGGUAAAACGCACUGGAGGAACGAACCCACGUACGUUGAAAAGUGCGGGGAUGAGGUGUGGGUAGCGGAGAAAUUCCAAACGAACUUGGAGAUAGCUGGUUCUCUCCGAAAUAGCUUUAGGGCUAGCCUCGGAAUUGAGAAUGAAGGAGGUAGAGCACUGUUUGGACUAGGGGCCCAUCUCGGGUUACCGAAUUCAGAUAAACUCCGAAUGCCAUUCAUUCAUAUCCAGAGUCAGACUGUGAGUGAUAAGAUCCAUAGUCGAAAGGGAAACAGCCCAGACCACCAGCUAAUGUCCCAAAAUAUAUGUUAAGUGGAAAAGGAUGUGGGGUUGCACAGACAACUAGGAUGUUGGCUUAGAAGCAGCCACCAUUUAAAGAGUGCGUAAUAGCUCACUAGUCGAGUGACCCUGCGCCGAAAAUGUACCUGGGCUAAACAUAUUACCGAAGCUGUGGAGUACACCUUUAGGUGUAUUGGUAGGAGAGCGUUCUAAGGGCGUUGAAGGCAGAUCGUGAGUACUGCUGGAGCGCUUAGAAGUGAGAAUGCCGGUAUGAGUAGCGAAAGACAGGUGAGAUUCCUGUCCACCGAAUGACUAAGGUUUCCUGGGGAAGGCUCGUCCGCUCAGGGUUAGUCGGGACCUAAGCCGAGGCCGACAGGCGUAGGCGAUGGAUAACAGGUUGAUAUUCCUGUACCCGUUGUUUUUGUUUGAGCAAUGGAGGGACGCAGGAGGCUAAGGAAUGCAGACGAUCGGAAAUGUCUGUCCAAGCAGUAAGUCUGAAGAGGAGUCAAAUGCUUCUUUUCUUAAGGACAAGCUGUGAUGGGGAGGGAAAUAAUAGUACCGAAGUUCCUGAUGUCACACUGCCGAGAAAAGCUUCUAGUGAGAAAACAGCGGCCCGUACCGCAAACCGACACAGGUUGUCGAGGAGAGAAUCCUAAGGUGAGCGAGAGAACUCUCGUUAAGGAACUCGGCAAAAUGACCCCGUAACUUCGGGAUAAGGGGUGCUGAUCAUACGAUCAGCCGCAGUGAAUAGGCCCAAGCGACUGUUUAUCAAAAACACAGGUCUCUGCAAAAUCGUAAGAUGAAGUAUAGGGGCUGACGCCUGCCCGGUGCUGGAAGGUUAAGAGGAGUGCUUAGCGCAAGCGAAGGUACGAAUUGAAGCCCCAGUAAACGGCGGCCGUAACUAUAACGGUCCUAAGGUAGCGAAAUUCCUUGUCGGGUAAGUUCCGACCCGCACGAAAGGCGUAACGAUUUGGGCACUGUCUCAACGAGAGACUCGGUGAAAUUUUAGUACCUGUGAAGAUGCAGGUUACCCGCGACAGGACGGAAAGACCCCAUGGAGCUUUACUGUAGUUUGAUAUUGAGUGUCUGUACCGCAUGUACAGGAUAGGUAGGAGCCGUAGAAAUCGGAACGCUAGUUUCGAUGGAGGCGCUGGUGGGAUACUACCCCUGCGUUAUGGCCACUCUAACCCGCACCACUAAUCGUGGUGGGAGACAGUGUCAGAUGGGCAGUUUGACUGGGGCGGUCGCCUCCUAAAAGGUAACGGAGGCGCCCAAAGGUUCCCUCAGAAUGGUUGGAAAUCAUUCGAAGAGUGUAAAGGCAGAAGGGAGCUUGACUGCGAUACCAACAAGUCGAGCAGGGACGAAAGUCGGGCUUAGUGAUCCGGUGGUUCCGCAUGGAAGGGCCAUCGCUCAACGGAUAAAAGCUACCAUGGGGAUAACAGGCUUAUCUCCCCCAAGAGUCCACAUCGACGGGGAGGUUUGGCACCUCGAUGUCGGCUCGUCGCAUCCUGGGGCUGUAGUCGGUCCCAAGGGUUGGGCUGUUCGCCCAUUAAAGCGGCACGCGAGCUGGGUUCAGAACGUCGUGAGACAGUUCGGUCCCUAUCCGUCGCGGGCGUUGGAAAUUUGAGAGGAGCUGUCCUUAGUACGAGAGGACCGGGAUGGACUUACCGCUGGAGUACCAGUUGUACUGCCAAGGGCAUUGCUGGGUAGCUAUGUAGGGAAGGGAUAAACGCUGAAAGCAUCUAAGUGUGAAGCCCACCUCAAGAUGAGAUUUCCCAUUUCUUUAAGAAAGUAAGAUCCCUGAGAGAUGAUCAGGUAGAUAGGUCAGGAGUGGAAGUACAGUGAUGUAUGGAGCGGACUGAUAUUAAUCGAUCGAGGACUUAACCAAU